GCGUUGUCCGGAGUGACUGGGCGUAAAGGGCGCAUAGGCGGUUAUACAAGUCAGGUGUAAAAGAUACCGGCUCAACCGGUAGAUAGCAUCUGAUACUGUAUAACUAGAGUACAGGAGAGGGGAGCGGAAUUCCUGGUGUAGCGGUGAAAUGCGUAGAAAUCAGGAAGAACACCGGUGGCGAAGGCGGCUCUCUGGCCUGGGACUGACGCUGAGGCGCGAAAGCGUG
rnacentral:rRNA from 1 species